rnacentral:rRNA from 1 species
UACGUAGGGGGCAAGCGUUGUCCGGAUUUAUUGGGCGUAAAGAGCGUGUAGGCGGCCAGACAGGUCCGUUGUGAAAACUAGAGGCUUAACCUCUAGACGUCGAUGGAAACCGUCUGGCUAGAGUCCGGAAGAGGAGAAUGGAAGUUCCUGGUGUAGCGGUGAAAUGCGCAGAUAUCAGGAAGAACACCCGUGGCUAAGGCGGUUCUCUAGUACGGUACUGACGCUGAGACGCGAAAGCGUGGGGAGCGAACAGG